rnacentral:tRNA from 1 species
GGCGGUGUAGCGCAGCUGGCUAGAGCGUACGGUUCAUACCCGUGGGGUCGGGGGUUCGAUCCCCUCCGCCGCUA